CAAUAGCGUAUAUUUAAGUUGCGGCAGUUAAAAAGCUCGUAGUUGGAUUUCGGGUGGGAAUGGCCGGUCCGCCGUUUCGGUGUGCACUUGCUACGCCCACCUUGCUGCCGGGGACGUGCUCUUGAGUUCACGCUCGGGACACGGAGUCGGCGAGGUUACUUAGAGUAAAUUAGAGUGUUCAAAGCAGGCCUACGCUCUGAAUACAUUAGCAUGGAAUAACACGAUAGGACUCUGGCCUAUCUUGUUGGUCUGUAGGACCGGAGUAAUGAUUAAGAGGGACAGUCGGGGCAUUCGUAUUUCAUUGUCAGAGGUGAAAUUCUUGGAUUUAUGAAAGACGAACUACUGCGAAAGCAUUUGCCAAGGAUGUUUUCAUUAA
rnacentral:rRNA from 1 species